rnacentral:rRNA from 1 species
AGAGUUUGAUCCUGGCUCAGUACGAACGCUGACGGCGUGCUUAACACAUGCAAGUCGCACGAGAAAGUCUACCUUCGGGUGGAUUAGUAAAGUGGCGCACGGGUGAGUAACGCGUGGAUAAUCUGCCUUCAAGUCGGGAAUAACAUUGCGAAAGCGAUGAUAAAACCGGAUAAGCUCACGAUUUGAUUAGUUGUGGGAAAAGAUGGCCUCUGUAUAUGCUAUCGCUUGAAGAUGAGUCCGCGUACCAUUAGCUUGUUGGUAGGGUAAUGGCCUACCAAGGCUUCGAUGGUUAGCUGGCCUGAGAGGGCGGCCAGCCACACUGGAACUGAGACACGGUCCAGACUCCUACGGGAGGCAGCAGCGGGGAAUAUUGCGCAAUGGGGGAAACCCUGACGCAGCGACGCCGUGUGAGUGAUGAAGGUUUUCGGAUCGUAAAGCUCUGUCGGGUGGGAAGAAUAAAGGCUGUGUAAAUAAUGCAGUCUGAUGACGGUACCACCAAAGGAAGCACCGGCUAACUCCGUGCCAGCAGCCGCGGUAAUACGGAGGGUGCAAGCGUUGUUCGGAGUUAUUGGGCGUAAAGGGCGUGUAGGCGGGUAUGUAGGUCAGGUGUGAAAGCCCUCGGCUCAACCGAGGAAGUGCAUUUGAAACCAUAUAUCUUGAGUACGAGAGAGGCAGAUGGAAUUCCCAGUGUAGAGGUGAAAUUCAUAGAUAUUGGGAAGAACACCGGUGGCGAAAGCGGUCUGCUGGCUCGAUACUGACGCUGAGACGCGAAAGCGUGGGGAGCAAACAGGAUUAGAUACCCUGGUAGUCCACGCCGUAAACGAUGUGCACUAGUGUUGGGGGCAAUUAAACCUUU